GGCUCAAUGGUCUAGUGGUAUGAUUCCUGCUUCGGGUUACGCCCUUCCAUCUGACAUGGGAAUGCAGGAGGCCCCGGGUUCGAAUCCCGGUUGAGCCC
rnacentral:tRNA from 1 species